AACGCACAUUGCGCCCUUUGGCAUUCCGAAGGGCAUGCCCGUUCGAGCGUCAUUACACCCAUCAAGCCUGGCUUGGUAUUGGGCGCCGGGAGACCCCGCGCCUCUAAUUCACCGGCUGGACGGUUCGAAUCCUAGCGUUGUGGUCAAUCAAAUCGCUGGCGAGGACGACCGGACGCGCCGCUAAACCCCUCAUCACAGGUUGACCUCGGAUCGGGUAGGGAUACCCGCUGAACUUAA
rnacentral:misc_RNA from 1 species